rnacentral:rRNA from 1 species
UACAGAGGUCCCAAGCGUUGUUCGGAUUCAUUGGGCGUAAAGGGUGCGUAGGCGGCAGGGUAAGUUGGAUGUGAAAUAUUGGGGCUCAACCUCGAAACUGCAUUCAAUACUGCCUUGCUCGAGUGCUGGAUAGGAGACUGGAAUUUACGGUGUAGCAGUGAAAUGCGUAGAUAUCGUAAGGAAGACCAGUGGCGAAGGCGAGUCUCUGGACAGCUACUGACGCUGAGGCACGAAGGCCAGGGGAGCAAACGGG